rnacentral:rRNA from 1 species
UACGAAGGGGGCUAGCGUUGCUCGGAAUCACUGGGCGUAAAGCGCACGUAGGCGGAUUGUUAAGUCAGGGGUGAAAUCCUGGAGCUCAACUCCAGAACUGCCCUUGAUACUGAAGAUCUUGAGUUCGGGAGAGGUGAGUGGAACUGCGAGUGUAGAGGUGAAAUUCGUAGAUAUUCGCAAGAACACCAGUGGCGAAGGCGGCUCACUGGCCCGAUACUGACGCUGAGGCACGAAAGCGUGGGGAGCAAACAGG